rnacentral:rRNA from 1 species
UACGAAGGGUGCAAGCGUUAAUCGGAAUUACUGGGCGUAAAGCGCGCGUAGGUGGUUCAGCAAGUUGGAUGUGGAAGCCCCGGGCUCAACCUGGGAACUGCAUCCAAAACUACUGAGCUAGAGUACGAUAGAGGGUGGUAGAAUUCCUAGUGUAGCGGUGAAAUGCGUAGAUAUUAGGAGGAAUACCAGUGGCGAAGGCGGCCACCUGGAUCGAUACUGACACUGAGGCGCGAAAGCGUGGGUAGCGAACAGG